AGAUCUAACGGAAUAUUUUUUCUUAAAUGCAACGUUGGAUACUGGAGCGGGGAAGGAUUUCGUGCCAACGGCACUCGUACACGAGUUGUUCGGUCACUGAGCACAACGUUACACCGUUUUGUUAGGAAAGUGAAGGUGGUCGGCGCACAUCUCCCUUUUUUGGGGUUUGUGUGUUUUACCGGCUUAUCUGAAAAGGGGCAACAGAGAACCUGGGAUGAUAUUCCAAAAAGAAAUUGCAUGUGGGA
rnacentral:rRNA from 1 species